rnacentral:rRNA from 1 species
AUUGAACGCUGGCGGCAGGCCUAACACAUGCAAGUCGAACGGUAACAGGAAGCAGCUUGCUGCUUCGCUGACGAGUGGCGGACGGGUGAGUAAUGUCUGGGAAGCUGCCUGAUGGAGGGGGAUAACUACUGGAAACGGUAGCUAAUACCGCAUAAUGUCGCAAGACCAAAGAGGGGGACCUUCGGGCCUCUUGCCAUCGGAUGUGCCCAGAUGGGAUUAGCUUGUUGGUGGGGUAACGGCUCACCAAGGUGACGAUCCCUAGCUGGUCUGAGAGGAUGACCAGCCACACUGGGACUGAGACACGGUCCAGACUCCUACGGGAGGCAGCAGUGGGGAAUAUUGCACAAUGGGCGCAAGCCUGAUGCAGCCAUGCCGCGUGUAUGAAGAAGGCCUUCGGGUUGUAAAGUACUUUCAGCGGGGAGGAAGGGAGUAAAGUUAAUACCUUUGCUCAUUGACGUUACCCGCAGAAGAAGCACCGGCUAACUCCGUG